UCUGCCCGACAGACACUUCUCCCCGACUACAUGCUAGGUAUGCAUACGACUUGGGUGACCUAUCUUCCAAGUGGGCCACUUACGUCACGAAUCUUACAACAACCAGGUUGUCAAUAUGUUUUUUUUUUUGUUCUUCAAAUUGUUUUCAUCCUUUCAUUUUUAAAUAAACCUCGCAUCGAACACUAGACAUUCAGCAUACCGCGCCAAGUCAACAACAGAGCUAAGUAUUCCAUAAUUAUCUUGUGUGUUUUUCUAUUACUUUUAGAGGCCAGAUAUGGAAGCUGAAAAAAAUGCAUCGAAGAGCAAGUUUGUUGCUUGGAUAACACAAGAUUUAAUAUUUUCAAACAAUGACUGUGACAAAUGAUGUUGCUGCGACACAUACCACUUCAUCGAAAAGUUUUGCUGACCAAUAAAUAUAAAUUUUUUUGCUUUUAUUGCUCUAACAACAGAUCGGUACAACAACAGAAAUGCAUGGGAAGAUAUACUAACAAAAACAGAUUUACUCGUAUUACCUGAAUCUGAUUCUGAAAACAGCUGAGUUUUGAGAGAAUGAACAUCCCAGAAGCACAGAAUGUCAUUUUCAUCACACUGAUGGAGUACGUGCAGUUUUCGGUCUAAGCAGCAACGACGAUAUAGUUUAGUCCACGUUUUUGAUUUGUCUUCAUUCUAUUUUCCAUAGUAAAAAUGUCAAACACUCGAACUUUCAAACCAUGGAAACUAAAUAUUUCUGUUGAAAAUCAAUUACAAAAUUGA